rnacentral:tRNA from 1 species
GGAGGGUUGUCCGAGUCUGGUUUAUGGAGCUGGUCUAGAAAACCAGUAAUGGUUACUUAUCAUUCAAGGGUUCAAAUCCCUUACCCUCCU